GAACUGGGGUAGUGGUCUUAGGCUUCUUUUGUCGACCAGUGUUAUUAAAAUUAAAUUGAAGUUGGAAGUAAAGAAGAAAAAGAUAUGCCAGAGAGUACGUGUUCAGGUUCGUCCAUGUGUCACAGUACUCAUUUCGAUUCUCAUCCCAUACAUUUGGUCAAAAUACGGACUGGCUACCUCCGACGCCUAGUUAAAAAAAAAUAAGGCGUCAAAAAUUAUGUGUCGAAAAUGUAUGAAGACAAAACAAGUUCAAGAGCAUACGUAUGCAGAUGCGUCACAAAAAACCAGGCACCUUUUUUUUUUGUAUUUAGAUUUGAUCUUUCCAAUAAAUGAAUUUUUAAAAAUGUUGAACUAGAAUUUUUUUUUAACCAUCACCGGGCACUGACGUUAUUUAACGCUUAAUAGUAAGCACCACAACAAGAAUAAA